ensembl:lncRNA novel transcript
GCGGCUUGGUGGAGGAGACCUCUGUGGACAUGCAUUGGUGUUGGACUCUCGCCUGUGCUCUCUGGGGGAUCCACGGGAUAGUCCCCCGAUUCUAGGAACUGGCAGGGGGAAGCAAGCCUAAAGAAACAUCUAGUGAAGCUUCAGAUCCAGAGAGAAGACCUUCAAGCAAUGGCCCUGGUAAGCAUUCGGUACUGCUGUCUGCUUCUAGAAAGAGAGAAGAACAGUAACAAAUAGAAUCGAAGCCUGGAAAGUUCAAAAAUUUGCUUUUAGAAGGAUAACUCAAGGAAGCACAGAUGGCAGAGGCUGCAGCUGAAGCAGAGCGCUCUGCUGGCGGGACAGCCAUCGUGUCCAGCACCCAGAGUAAUGGGCCAUUCAGCCUAGUGGAAGGCACAUGAGCUGCUCCAUCAACCUUCCUGCAUACUCACCUACUCAUGUCCCACCUCUUCUAGAAACUGUGACAAAAGGGAGCUAGGUUGAAAUCACUGCUGGAAUCCCGUUUGUAAUGACUUUCACUCUUGGUGUCAGUAGUUUUACUGCUUGGGACUUUUAUUUGUGAAUUACAGUUGAAAGCUGCAUUUUUACCUAUGUCAGGCUUUCAUCUGGCCUUACCAGUCUUUCCUCUGUAGGAUGGCAGUCACUGUUGGAUAUUACACCAUCCUGUCCAGGGCUAGCCACUGUGGUGGUGUGCUGCUUAUAGCUUGCUCUUGUAUUGUAAUAAAAGAUAUCUUUCCCUGUCGUGAUUUGUAAGAAGAACUCAAGGGCAUUGUUACAAAAAUAUUCUCCCUUCAAAAAGAGAAAAGCUAAAAGACUCAUUACUACUCAGACUUCAAUACACCUGUGUGUCAAUCUUAUAUUUCUUUUUUUAUACAAAACUGUAAAAUAUACUUUUAGGUCCAAAAGUAUACUUUUAGUGCUUUGUAAGCAUUGCGUGAAGCCUGAUAUGAUAAUUCCAUGGAAGCAUUGCCUUGGGAAUUUGCUGUCUUUGCUGUAAGCUUGUAGCAUUAAACAAACAUUGUAGUUAAUAGGCUUUCUCUUUGAAACAAUUAUGUGAAAUGUACAGCUGUUCUUGAGGAACUUUGAAGCUAGUUCAUUGAAAAAUGCUCCUUUCCCUUCCCUUGUAAUGCUAUAUUAAUGAAGUAUAAUAAUUACUGGUUUUGUAAUUUUUUUUCUGGUAAUGUUCUUCUCUGACUCUUUAAAAAUGUCCCUUCCCUCCUCCCAAGUUUUAUACUAGACUGUGGUUAGUCUGAUUCUAAAUGUUUUACUUAGUUUAUCCUCAAUAUUCAUGUAUAUAAAUUGAUCCUGGUGAUCCUGUACAUGGCUGUUUGCAAUGCCAGAAUGAUUUCUGACAUUCCAGGUUUUUCACAAAAUAUAUUUUAUUUGUGAUUAGUCACUUGACUAAUAAUAUCAGCUAAAAGAUGUCACAAAAAAUAAAAUAAAAAAA